rnacentral:rRNA from 1 species
GAUGAACGCUGGCGGCGUGCCUAAUACAUGCAAGUCGAGCGAACAGACGAGAGUGCUUGCACUCUCUGACGUUAGCGGCGGACGGGUGAGUAACACGUGGGUAACCUACCUAUAAGACUGGGAUAACUUCGGGAAACCGGAGCUAAUACCGGAUAAUAUUUAGCUUCGCAUGAAGCAAUAGUGAAAGACGGUUCUGCUGUCACUUAUAGAUGGACCCGCGGUGUAUUAGCUAGUUGGUGAGGUAUCGGCUCACCAAGGCAACGAUACAUAGCCGACCUGAGAGGGUGAUCGGCCACACUGGGACUGAGACACGGCCCAGACUCCUACGGGAGGCAGCAGUAGGGAAUCUUCCGCAAUGGACGAAAGUCUGACGGAGCAAUGCCGCGUGAGUGAAGAAGGUUUUCGGAUCGUAAAACUCUGUUGUAAGGGAAGAACAAGUACGUUAGUAACUGAACGUACCUUGACGGUACCUUACCAGAAAGCCACGGCUAACUACGUG